AGAGUUUGAUCCUGGCUCAGGAUGAACGCUGGCGGUAUGCUUAACACAUGCAAGUCGAACGGAAUCCUUAGGGAUUUAGUGGCGGACGGGUGAGUAACGCGUGAGAAUCUGGCUUCAGGUCGGGGACAACAGUUGGAAACGACUGCUAAUACCGGAUAUGCCGAGAGGUAAAAGGUUAACUGCCUGGAGAUGAGCUCGCGUCUGAAUAGCUAGUUGGUGGGGUAAGAGCCUACCAAGGCAACGAUCAGUAGCUGGUCUGAGAGGAUGAUCAGCCACACUGGGACUGAGACACGGCCCAGACUCCUACGGGAGGCAGCAGUGGGGAAUUUUCCGCAAUGGGCGAAAGCCUGACGGAGCAAUACCGCGUGAGGGAGGAAGGCUCUUGGGUCGUAAACCUCUUUUCUCAGGGAAGAAAAAAAUGACGGUACCUGAGGAAUAAGCAUCGGCUAACUCCGUGCCAGCAGCCGCGGUAAUACGGAGGAUGCAAGCGUUAUCCGGAAUGAUUGGGCGUAAAGGGUCCGCAGGUGGCUAUGUAAGUCUGCUGUUAAAGAGUCAUGCUUAACAUGAUAAGAGCAGUGGAAACUACAUAGCUAGAGUGCGUUCGGGGCAGAGGGAAUUCCUGGUGUAGCGGUGAAAUGCGUAGAUAUCAGGAAGAACACCGGUGGCGAAGGCGCUCUGCUAGGCCGCAACUGACACUGAGGGACGAAAGCUAGGGGAGCGAAUGGGAUUAGAUACCCCAGUAGUCCUAGCCGUAAACGAUGGAUACUAGGCGUGGCUUGUAUCGACCCGAGCCGUGCCGAAGC
rnacentral:rRNA from 1 species